UACGUAGGGUGCGAGCGUUGUCCGGAAUUAUUGGGCGUAAAGAGCUCGUAGGCGGUCUGUCGCGUCGAAUGUGAAAACCCGGGGCUCAACCCCGGGCCUGCAUUCGAUACGGGCAGACUAGAGUUCGGUAGGGGAGUCUGGAAUUCCUGGUGUAGCGGUGAAAUGCGCAGAUAUCAGGAGGAACACCGGUGGCGAAGGCGGGACUCUGGGCCGAUACUGACGCUGAGGAGCGAAAGCGUGGGAGCAAACAGG
rnacentral:rRNA from 1 species